GGGGAUUGGAAAUGAGAGAGGAAGUCACUAGGCCCAUGGGAAACUGAGGUUGGGUGCAGCCUCUUAAACAGGAAGAAGGAGAAGCCACUCAGGACCCAGACAGUCCAGACGCCAUGAAGAAUCACUGAAGGGUUUGGAGUAAGAAAGCUACAAGGUCGUUGCAUAUUCAUACACGGAGAGACUGGCUAGGACGACCAGACUCAGGAGCGUGAGAGGAGAGUGCCAUCCAGUGGCCAGCUGGGGACAUGGCUGACAUGCGGUGCGCUCCAGACGCUGACUUCUGCUUUGUCCUUCCAACCCUGGAACUGAGGUACCUGCACAUUAUACCAACCCUUCCUACCCUCAGCUUACCAGUGAGAAAGAAGGACUAAAAGGAAAAAGAACUAAAGGUGUUUUUUCACCCUAGAGGAUACCUGGCCAAUACUCCUUAAAACUAUGAAGGUCAUGAAAAAUUGAGAAAGUAUCACAAACCAGAGGAGAUUGAGGAGACAUGGGAACGACAGGCAAUGUGGUACCCUAAACUGGAUCCUGGAACAGAAAUGGAAAAACUAGCAAAAUCCAAAUAAAGUCUGAAGUUUACUUAACAGUAAUAUGCCAAUGUAACUUGCCUAGUUUAGAAAAUUUACCAUGCUAAUGGAACUGAGUGAGGAGUAUGCAGAAACUCUCGCACUGCCUUUGCAAAUUUUUGUACAAAAGUACAUAAAUAAAACCAAAAAAAUUUAUUUUUUUAAUAUGUGGUAUUGCUGCAAAAAUAAACAAAUAGAUCAAUGAGAAGAAUAGAGAUCCAGAAAUAAACCCAUGCAUAUAUGGUCAACAGAUUUCCAACAAAGUGGCUAAAGCAAUUUCAUGUGGACUGAAAAUCUUUCCAAAAAAUGGCACAGGAACAACAUGUCAGCUGCCUGAGAAAAAGAAUUCAUCCCUACCUUUUCCUCAUACCAGACAUCAAAAUUUACUUACAGUGUAUUCUGUAUUUAAU